GUGAAAGCCACCGCCGCUUUGUCCACUGGCAGGAAUUUUGAAAUGCUACUCUCUUUUAGCAGAAGACAGAAUAAUGGAAACUGGAUAUUGGAGUGGCUGAGGUGGAGUGGAGCUGCAAAGUGGAAGAUUUCGUAUCUGUAUUGAGAUGGUGCUCGUAAGUGCUUCCUUAGCAUGAUGGCUGGAUCAAUUGGUUUCUCUAUUUAAUCCUGACUGGCCUUGAACUCAUAGAAAUACACCUGCCUCUGUACUACCACUGCCGAGACCUGAAGGAUCUUGGGUGUCAGCCCUCAACUUCAAACUUGAGACAGGGUUUCUUUCUCAUUUGCUGCUAUGUAUGUAUGCUCGGUUAGCUGGUCUGAGGACUUCCGGCCCCACGUGCUCUGGUCCCAGCUCCUGUUUCCCUAUAGGAUUGCUGGGCUCUCAGGUACUCAGUUGAAGAGUAAGGACAAGGCCACUCUGGAGAGUAUGUUGUCUUCUGAAUUAGAGGUGUACUUGCGUGUAUAUGUACAUGUACCUUCUGAGUACCUGGUGCCCAGGAGGACAGAAAAGUUUCUUGGAUCUCCUGAUGGGUUGUUGCAGGUGGCUGUGAGCCAUCCUGUGGGCUCCUCCUCAAGAAAAGCCAGUGGUCUUAACUGCUGAUGCAUGCUUUAGUUCCUAUACUGGACAUUUUUUA
rnacentral:lncRNA from 1 species